rnacentral:rRNA from 1 species
GAUGAACGCUGGCGGCGUGCCUAAUACAUGCAAGUCGAGCGAACGGACGAGAAUCUUGCUUCUCUGAUGUUAGCGGCGGACGGGUGAGUAACACGUGUAUAACCUCCCUAUAAGACUGGGAUAACUUCGGGAAACCGGAGCUAAUACCGGAUAAUAUUUUGAACCGCAUGGUUCAAAAGUGAAAUACGGUCUUGCUGUCACUUAUAGAUGGAUCCGCGCUGCAUUAGCUGGUUGGUAAGGUAAAGGCUUACCAAGGCAACGAGGCAUAGCCGACCUGAGAGAGGGAUAGGCCGCACUGGAACUGAGACACGGACCAGACGACUAAGGGACGCAGCAGUAGGGAACCUUACGCAAUGGGCGAAAGCAUGACGCAGCAGCGCGGCGUGAGUGAUGAAGGUCUUCGGAGCGUGAAACUCUGUUAUGAGGGGAGAACAGAUGUGUAAGUAGCCGAGGAGAGCUUGACGGUAACGAAUCAGAAAGCACCGGCUAACUACGUG